rnacentral:rRNA from 1 species
GAUGAACGCUGGCGGCGUGCCUAAUACAUGCAAGUCGAACGCUUUGUCUUUAAUUGAUAUGAAGAGCUUGCUCUGAUUUGAUUUUAUCUGACAAAGAGUGGCGAACGGGUGAGUAACACGUGGGUAACCUACCUCUUAGCAGGGGAUAACGUUUGGAAACAAGUGCUAAUACCGUAUAACACUAACAACCGCAUGGUUGUUAGUUGAAAGAUGGUUCUGCUAUCACUAAGAGAUGGACCCGCGGUGCAUUAGCUAGUUGGUAAGGUAAUGGCUUACCAAGGCGAUGAUGCGUAGCCGAGUUGAGAGACUGAUCGGCCACAAUGGGACUGAGACACGGCCCAUACUCCUACGGGAGGCAGCAGUAGGGAAUCUUCCACAAAGGGCGCAAGCCUGAUGGAGCAACGCCGCGUGUGUGAUGAAGGGUUUCGGCUCGUAAAACACUGUUAUAAGAGAAGAACGACAUUGAGAGUAACUGUUCAGUGUGUGACGGUAUCUUAUCAGAAAGGAACGGCUAAAUACGUG